GACGAACGCUGGCGGCGUGCUUAACACAUGCAAGUCGAACGGGAUUUAGUAAACAGAAACCUCGGUGGAAGAUUACUAAUGAGAGUGGCGAACGGGUGAGUAACGCGUGAGCAACCUGCCUAUGACAGUGGGAUAGCCUCGGGAAACCGGGAUUAAUACCGCAUAAAAUUGUAGAAACACAUGUUUUAACGGUCAAAGAUUUAUCGGUCAUAGAUGGGCUCGCGUCUGAUUAGCUAGUUGGUGAGAUAACAGCCCACCAAGGCGACGAUCAGUAGCCGGUCUGAGAGGAUGAACGGCCACAUUGGAACUGAGACACGGUCCAAACUCCUACGGGAGGCAGCAGUGGGGAAUAUUGCACAAUGGGGGAAACCCUGAUGCAGCGACGCCGCGUGAACGAAGAAGGUAUUCGUAUCGUAAAGUUCUGUCCUAUGGGAAGAUAAUGACAGUACCAUAGAAGAAAGCUCCGGCUAACUACGUG
rnacentral:rRNA from 1 species